rnacentral:rRNA from 1 species
AUUGAACGCUGGCGGCAGGCUUAACACAUGCAAGUCGAACGAGUGGCGGACGGGUGAGUAAUGCUUGGGAAUAUAGCUUAUGGCGGGGGAUAACUACGGGAAACUGUAGCUAAUACCGCGUACCAUAGGAUGAGCCCAAGUGGGAUUAGGUAGUUGUGGAGGUAAAGGCUCACCAAGCCGACGAUCUCUAGCUGGUCUGAGAGGAUGAACAGCCACACUGGGACUGAGACACGGCCCAGACUCCUACGGGAGGCAGCAGUGGGGAAUAUUGCGCAAUGGGGGCAACCUGACGCAGCCAUGCCGCGUGAAUGAAGAAGGCCUUCGGGUUGUAAAGUUCUUUCGGUAGCGAGGCGUUAACUACAGAAGAAGCACCGGCUAACUCCGUGCCAGCAGCCGCGGUAAUAC